CCUACGGGAGGCAGCAGUGAGGAAUAUUGCGCAAUGGACGAAAGCCUGACGCAGCGACGCCGCGUGAGGGAUGAAGGUCUUCUGAUCGUAAACCUCUGUCAGCAGGGAAGAACGGUCACUUUGCUAAUCAGCCUUGAAUUGACGGUACCUGCAAAGGAAGCACCGGCUAACUCCGUGCCAGCAGCCGCGGUAAUACGUCGGGUGCGAGCGUUAAUCGGAAGUACUGGGCGUAAAGCGCUCGUAGGCGGUAUGUCAAGUCAAGGGUGAAAUCCCCGCGCUCAACGUGGGAACUGCCUUUGAAACUUGCAGACUGGAGUGUGUGAGAGGAGAGUGGAAUUGCAGGUGUAGGAGUGAAAUCCGUAGAUAUCGGGAGGAACAUCAGUGGCGAAGGCGACUAUCUGGAACAUAACUGACGCUGAGGAGCGAAAGCGUGGGUAGCAAACAGGAUUAGAUACCCGUGUAGUC
rnacentral:rRNA from 1 species